rnacentral:rRNA from 1 species
UCGAGAAUCUUCGGCAAUGGGCGAAAGCCUGACCGAGCGACGCCGCGUGUGGGAUGAAGGCCCUUGGGUUGUAAACCACUGUCAGAGGGGAUGAAAUGCCAGAGGGUUCUCCCUCCGGUUUGACAUAGCCUCAGAGGAAGCACGGGCUAAGUUCGUGCCAGCAGCCGCGGUAAGACGAACUGUGCAAACGUUAUUCGGAAUCACUGGGCUUGAAGAGUGCGUAGGCGGUUUCGUAAGUAGGGUGUGAAAG